CGGGGAAUCUUGCACAAUGGGGGAAACCCUGAUGCAGCGACGCCGCGUGAACGAUGAAGCCCUUCGGGGUGUAAAGUUCUUUCGACAGGAACGAUAAUGACGGUACCGGGAGAAGAAGCUGCGGCUAACUACGUGCCAGCAGCCGCGGUAAUACGUAGGCAGCAAGCGUUGUUCGGAGUUACUGGGCGUAAAGAGUGCGUAGGCGGUUUUCUAAGUUCGGUGUGAAAUCUCCCGGCUUAACUGGGAGGGUGCGCCGAAGACUGGGAAGCUGGAGUGUGGGAAAGGCAGGCGGAAUUCCCGGUGUAGCGGUGAAAUGCGUAGAUAUCAGGAGGAACACCGGCGGUGUAGACGGCUUGCUAGACCAUAACUGACGCUGAGGCACGAAAGCGUGGGUAGCAAACA
rnacentral:rRNA from 1 species